AAAACCGUGAAAUUUACGUUUGUCUCCCAUCACGUGAACAACCUGAGAACAUCACAACAACCAAAACUUCUGGACAUUGACAACUUGCGACAGUCUGGUUUGAAAAAGGCAAACAAUCCGCGUAUCUACAACGAUGCGAAGUAUGCGCGGAAUGAGAGCAAGAAUGAGAUGAACGCGGAGCUGGAGUUCGCGUGGGGGCGGAGCUUCGAUGUAGUCAUCCUAAAACUCCUGGCCGGUGGGCGGGGCUUACAGUGCGGGAUGACCUCACGAAGAUGACUCGCGUUCAUGGUCAAAGAAAUUAGUCAAAAAACUGCGAAACCACAAUCUAACGUCACGUUUUUCUUGUACUGCUAUCACAGGACAUGUGGAAACAAAACCCGACCCAGAUUUUGUUUGUUUGUUUGUGUUUUCCCCUCAUCCUCAAUACAAAAGGCAUUAACCUUAACGUCAAUGGUAUAACUGAAUACAUAUAAUUGCUAUGAUUGCUUUAUGGUUAAGAUUAGAAUAACUGUCAGGGACGGGAAUAUGGAACUCCUAACACCAAAAGGACAUAGGACACAGAUGAAGAGGCUGUGUUGAACACCAAACUCUCAAAGAGAUUUAAUUAAUAGUGUAUCAGAUGUGAUAGAAUAGGAAUAGGAGAGUUUAAGGCUCUGAUCGAAAUUUAUUAGGAAUAAUUGUUUGUUUAUUUUGGGUGAUUGUAGGAUGUAAUAGUUGUAUUUGGAAUUAUGUUGUCAAAUGUGUCAACUUUUUUUUUUUUUGACACGUUCCUACACCGGGAGUUCACAACAGGCCAAUCAGCUGCCGAGCUAACUCGUUUUGCUUAGAGCAGGGACGAAUCGUGAACACUGCGUUUGAACACAGCUGUUCAGCCCUCGCUUGCUUUAACCCUCGCAAAAGGGCGUGCAUACCAUGCGUGCCUUUCACAGCGCAUAGAGUAACAAAUCUUGUUUUCUCCAUCCUGCUGUGGGUACGCGCACACGCACACACACGCGCAGUUUGCUCUGUGCAAUAAUCCUUCACUUUCCCAUGUUAUGUAAUGAAUACUUCUCAAGCAACAGUGGAUUUACGGUUAAUGGGAGAUUUUGGUAUCUUUUAAAAAGGGCAAAUAGGAUCUUUCAUGAAUGAUUGCCCCCCUGUGGUCAGAGGGGUCCAAGGCUGAUAGAGGAUGAUACAGCAAGCGCAACAUUAAAAUGCUUUCAAGUAACUGUCAAUGGGGCCACCGAGAAUCAGAAAUUGGUUUUAGCCGAACAUUGACUGAUAAGGUUAUAUUGAAGCUUUUGUUUCCUGUAGUGCCUGAAUUUACUUACAUUUCAUGUCAUUCCAUUAAAAAUAUUAUUUGCAUUAACUAAUGCAAUAAAAAAAAUGUAAACGUCUAAA